rnacentral:rRNA from 1 species
AGUGAACGCUGGCGGUAGGCCUAACACAUGCAAGUCGAACGGCAGGACAGUAAGAGCUUGCCCUUACGGGAGGCGAGGGGCGGACGGGUGAGGAAUACAUCGGAAUCUACUUUUUCGUGGGGGAUAAUGUAGGGAAACUUACGCUAAUAGCUCAUACGACCUACGGGUGAAAGCAGGGGAUCUUCGGACCUUGCGCGAUUGCAUGAGCCGAUGUCGGAUUAGCUAGUUGGCGGGGUAAAGGCCCACCAAGGCGACGAUCCGUAGCGGGUCUGAGAGGAUGAUCGGCCACACUGGAGCUGAGACACGGUCCAGACUACUACGGGAGGCGGCAGUGGGGAAUAUUGGACAAUGGGCGCAAGCCUGAUCCAGCCAUACCGCGUGGGUGAAGAAGGCCUUCGGGUUGUAAAGCCCUUUUGUUGGGAAAGAACAGCAGCAGGUUAAUACCCCGCUGUUCUGACGGUACCCAAAGAAUAAGCACCGGCUAACUUCGUG